rnacentral:lncRNA from 1 species
UGUACGGUUUGUACGCUCGUGAAAAUGUUGAAAAUUAUGUAAGGCCCCUAACAUGGCCACGUCAAAAAUCGGGACUUCCCGGAUCAUGCGCAGUAAGUAAUCGCAAAUUAUUUUCUAGGGAAAACCUGUGGUCUAUUUAUAGAUUUGAACCGCGGGGAAACAACAAACACACAUUCAACACUUUUGAGAAAAACAUUCGCCAGGACUGGCGUUUUAAUCAAGUUAGUUUGUCGAAGCCACCCACUCAUCGAUUUAGACAGGUGAGUGCUAGAAACACUGGUUGAUCAUCACAGGACUUGCUUAGUUGGUGGAGAACUGUAACUGGACAGCACCAUUCUCAGGAAGACACUCAUUGUAUACGAAAACGAGUGCUAGACACACUGACUGAUCAUCACAGGACUUGCUUAGUUGGUGGAGAACUGUAACUGGACAGCACCAUUCUCAGGAAGACACUCAUUGUGUACGAAAUUUUCGACUAUGAUAUUGUAUAUAAAACUAUUAAAUGGACAGACAGUAACUGUAACUGUUGAUGAAAAUGCCACUGUCCAUACUCUGAAGAAGAUGGUGAGCAAGUUAUGUGAUUUGUACGCUUAUCAGUUUGACUUUGUAAACACGAAUUCACGUUUGUCCCUAGACAUGUACAAAAGAACUUUAGCUGAAUGUAAUAUAUGCAAUGAGUCAGUCUUACUUAUGAUAUUAAAUUUACGUGGUUGGGGUACUCCAUUCAUUAAGGUUAUCCUUUAUUGUACUCAGGGUCACGUAACUGAGCCAGUUGAAUUAGACUUGGUAGCUAAUGUUCCUGUCAGUUCCCUUAAAGACAAUCUUGCUCAUCGUUUGGGAAUUCCCGCUGAAAGGCAGCAGUGGACACACGAUGGUGAUGUUCUUCCAAACCACCUUAACUUGCUCCAGUGCGAUCUUUUAAGUGGUAGCAAAUUACAUGUAAAAGAUAGUCGAGAGGCAUAAGUACUUAGAGGGAGGCAGGCGUGGGUGCAGGAAAUUGUGCAGGGGCCGAGGUUUAUGUUGUGGCGAGCCUUAGUUUUUUUAGGGUUUUUUGGGGGGGAAAUACAUUGGAAAAAAAGAAAAUGUUCAUGGCGAAAGGCGGAGGAAUGGUUUCAACCCCUAAAACCCUUUCAGAGUGAAUUGGAUAUUGGGGAGGCGAAAGAGAUGGGUGCAAGAGGGUUUUUUUCCCCACACUUUCCACAAAGAGUGUGUUUAUUUUCCUUGGCACUCGAUUGUUGCAGCUGGAAUUUCAGUAUUAUACAAGCGUUUGCCGGUAUGCGCAACUACUACUAAACUUAAACAAUUUGCGAUACUGGAACUUUUUAUGUUUUAAGAAAAUUAAGACUUUUUUUUUAAAUCGUUUCUUGCUGAAAUAUUGAAACGGCACCUCCCGCCCCUGCCGAACUAACUCCGACGCCCCUGGGGAGGGGAUGUGGCCAUAUGCUCAUUAUUUUUGGGUUGUGGGUUUUUUGUAACUUUAUGAGCAUGUUGUUCUAGGUAUAAUCUUUACGUUUCAAAACAAAACUUAAUAAAUAAUUUUGGCGGAUAGCCAUCAUUAUGCAACCAUCAAAUAGUCCCACCCCUAAGACAAAAUCGACAAGAUUGAUAAGAUAAAAUAAGAUAUGCAUUGUAUUUUUUUACAUUGUUAUCACUCUUGUCACAGUAUCAAAUGGGGGAUAACCACUUUUUGUCACAUAAUAUGCUAGGACGUGCUUUCGUCUGCUCGACUUGGGAAUCCUCCAUUAGGUUUUUUUUAACGAAAUAGAGUUUUCUACUGGGAUGUAUGCGGCCAUUGGAACUGAUUGGAUGCUGGAACACUUCUCGUUUCGACAGCCUGCAUCACCAGGUUGGAUUCCUUUUUGGCGAGAUUCCUUGUUUCCACGUCAUUUCUCCUGCUGAUUAUGUCGACUUGUUUUUCCGUGACUCGUAGGAUGGCAAUUAUGCAGAACGCCACGGUUGUUCGCGUUUAGUCUUUGCAUGUCCGAGCCUUUCCUAGCAGCACUUGAAGAUUGACCGCCCCACUCUAAGGCCGUGGUAUGUGUUAUCCUGUCUGUGGGAUGGUGCAUAUAAAAGAUCCCUUGCUGCUAAUUGAAAAGAGUAGGCCAUGAAGUGGCGACAGCGGGUUUCCU